GAUGAACGCUAGCGGCAGGCCUAAUACAUGCAAGUCGAACGGAUAUAUGUUUUUCGGAAUAUAUAUUAGUGGCGCACGGGUGAGUAACACGUACAUAACUUGCCCUCAAGCGGGGGAUAGCCUUGGGAAACUGAGAGUAAUACCCCAUAGAAUUAUUGGACAGCAUCGUUUGAUAAUUAAAACUACGGUGCUUGGGGAUAGAUGUGCGUCUGAUUAGCUAGUUGGUGAGGUAACUGCUCACCAAGGCGACGAUCAGUAGGGGGCGUGAGAGCGUGGCCCCCCACACGGGUACUGAGACACGGACCCGACUCCUACGGGAGGCAGCAGUAAGGAAUAUUGGUCAAUGGAGGGAACUCUGAACCAGCCAUGCCGCGUGAAGGAUGACGGCCCUCUGGGUUGUAAACUUCUUUUGGAUGGGGCGAAAAAACGGGAUUUAUCCUGGACUGACGGUACCAUCAGAAUAAGCACCGGCUAGCUCCGUGCCAGCAGCCGCGGUAAAGUAGU
rnacentral:rRNA from 1 species